AGGCAGCAGUGGGGAAUUUUGGACAAUGGGCGCAAGCCUGAUCCAGCCAUGCCGCGUGCGGGAAGAAGGCCUUCGGGUUGUAAACCGCUUUUGUCAGGGAAGAAACGCUCCGGGCUAAUACCUUGGAGUAAUGACGGUACCUGAAGAAUAAGCACCGGCUAACUACGUGCCAGCAGCCGCGGUAAUACGUAGGGUGCAAGCGUUAAUCGGAAUUACUGGGCGUAAAGCGUGCGCAGGCGGCUUUGCAAGACAGAUGUGAAAUCCCCGGGCUUAACCUGGGAACUGCAUUUGUGACUGCAUGGCUCGAGUGCGGCAGAGGGGGAUGGAAUUCCGCGUGUAGCAGUGAAAUGCGUAGAUAUGCGGAGGAACACCGAUGGCGAAGGCAAUCCCCUGGGCCUGCACUGACGCUCAUGCACGAAAGCGUGGGGAGCAAACAGGAUUAGAUACCCUGGUAG
rnacentral:rRNA from 1 species